rnacentral:rRNA from 1 species
UACAGGGGUCUCGAGCGUUAAUCGGAAUUACUGGGCUUAAAGGGUGCGUAGGUGGGUCCGCAAGUGCCUUGUGAAAUCCCCCGGCUCAACCGGGGAACUGCGGGGCAUACUGCGGGUCUUGAGGAAGGUAGGCGCCGAGGGAACAGUAGGUGGAGCGGUGAAAUGCGUAGAUAUCUACUGGAACGCCGAUGGUGAAGACGCUCGGCUGGGCCUUUCCUGACACUGAGGCACGAAAGCGUGGGGAGCAAACAGG